rnacentral:lncRNA from 1 species
UUUUUUUUUUUUUUUUUUUUUUUUUGCUUUUGAUUGCAAUAAAAUUAUUUUGUCCAGACACGUGCGAGCAAGUAUAACUUUUUCAAACGAUUUAUUUUGUCGCUUUAAUUUAGUACAGAUUUUAAAUACUUAUAGAGCUUGUCUCUCAAUUUGCGCAGGUCAAGAGGGGAUUCAGGUGUUUAUUUUUCGUAAAACUAAGGCCCUGUCUGGCACUUUGUUACAAGUUUUUUAAAAACUUUAGUUACAAUAACCUCAAAAAAGUUUUCGAAAAUUUUAAAUUAUAUACUUCAAAAUAUUAAAAAAUUUACAUUCUUUAAAAAUUUGUUAAAAAACUUCUACAAUAAAUUACAGUAAAGUUUUAGAUAAACACCCAAAAAAUUCACUUGCCAACGGACCCUAAAAUUCAAUCUACUGAAUAUUUUGCAGGAAGUAAUAACUAUAAGUUUAAGCACUUAAGUGAUAAAUUAAGUACAAAUUACGUGUAUUAACUAGUGCACAUUGACAUCGAUUAGUUUUUGUAUGCAAUUCAAUACAGAGUGUGACAUGUUAUGUUAUUUAAAUAAUUCUUGCGAUUGAAUCGAAGCAGUCACAUCCCCACCAAGAACCUUCUUCCACAAUACGGCUAGUUAGAUCAUACGUGACAUUAUAUGCGUUCACACCAUGCUAAUUGACCCAAAAAAAGAGUUUUCUAUAUUGGCCUCAUUGUCAUGGGGCUAGUGGGAUCCUUUUUUCAUGUUAUAUUCUAAUUUAGAAAAGACAACUAAGAACAUAAUUGAAAAACUGGUUUUGGUGACUAUUGGAUUUUCAGUGGGUCAUUUACUCAAAAUAAUUUGUGCAACAAAAAGAAAUUAUUGGAAGUUAUUUGGGGAAAUAAUUUGGUGGGAAAUCAACUUAAACCUUUGGUGUUCAGUGUUAUGUAGACCUGGCAAUUGGGCGGGUUGGGCGAUUUUGGGCGGGUUAAUAUUGGGUUUUUAUUUAAAUGGGUUAUACCCAAUCCGCCCAACUUUAAAUUGGGUUACUUUUGGGUUGGGUCAUUUUGGGUCAUCUCAAACCCAUGACCCAAAUAUGACCCAAUAUAUUAAUUAAUAGAUUUUGAUACAUAAAUUCUCUUAAAUAUAAAUUAUGUGCUGGCGGCAGACUUUGUGUAUAUAUUGGAUUAUUUGCAAAUUGCUUCAAAUCAUUACCAAAAGAACAAAUCAUUACGAAAGUUUGGAAACCAAGUCACAAAAAGCCCACAAAUAUAUAUAUAUAUAUAUAUAUAUAUUUAAAAAUACUAAUAGAUUAUGAUCAUAAAAAUUACAAAAAACGGAUUAUAACAGGCCAAAUAAUAGAGCUGCAAACCUGAACCAGUAUACUACUACGGACAUAAUCGAUUCAUUCUUGCAGCCGGCUAACACAUGAUAUAAUCCUUAAGGAAAUAUUGAAACUGGUCAGUUUAUGGAGAAACAAAUAAAGGUUUUAUACCUGUAGGAACAACAACCGAGGACACCACAGGAGCAAAUGGGAUUAAGAUUCGACAGCUUUAAUCUGAGAUUUUGUGACUUCUGCUUGGAUUUGGGAUGAUAGAAUUGCAAAAGGGUAGCAAAAAUGAACCCAAAGUAGAAUUGAAAAUUUGUUAUUUUUGAUUGAAAUCGUUGUUAGCAAGAAAGACAGAACUCUUCGUGGAGAGGAUUGUUAAUUUGCUAAAGAGUAAAGGUGCGAAGCUGGUGUGGUGGAGGUUUAUUUUUUUUUAAGUUGGGUAAUGGGUACCCAACUUAAUUACCCAAACCCACCCAAAAUAGGUAUGGGUUUUUAUUACCCAAUCUAAAAUUAACCCAACACCCAAUUUACCCAACCCAACUUCUAAAAUUAGUGGAUUGAUUGGGUGGGUGUUGGGUUUUGGGUAUAAUUGCCAGGUCUAGUGUUAUGUAUCAAAAUUAUAGGUCCUCUUUUUUUUUUUUAUUUUAUUGUGAUUGCUUCGAUUGUUGAUUCAUCUACUUCUCACGAGAUACAUAAUGUAGCCUGGAAAAGAUUUAUUUUCCUUCAGGCAGCUUGGAUUUUGAUUUUAACAAAAGUUAAAUGAAAUCCAUAAAUUGAUGCCAAAAAAAGUACAUCCAACAAAAUUGGAGGUUUUGUUUUUAUUGAGCUUUGAUAGCUGUAUACGUGGACGAAUCUGUCUAAAUGUUGAAAUUUUUAGCUAAUCAUGAAAGCAAAAGAGGGAUUAGCGUUAAAGUACAAUUCCACAAGCAUUUGGUUUUCAUAAAUCAAACAAACUUGGGAGUCCCCUCCUUUUGGAAAGUCAAAAUCCCAUAAUUUAGAGUACUAUUCUUUUUGUCCUUUUCAAUUAACUCUUUGCUCAUAUGUUUUAAACUCUCUCGGAAUAAUCAAAUCCCAGAUUAUCAAUUCACUAUAAUAUUAUGUAAUGUAGCAAUAAUAACAUAAAAUCAAAAAGAAAAAAAAAUCUCUCAGCCUUCUCUCUGCUUCCAAUGGUCUCUCUCCCAAUGGUCCUUUUUUUUUUUUUUUAAUUCUGUAAUAAAUUAUUCACCAUAGAAUUUCCUAAUAAGAGUUUCUCACUCCUAAAAUUUUAUAGAGAGUAUAUUUUCUCUCAAUACUUUCACUUUUUGUAGGAUUUCCAUGCAAAAGUUAGUUUGGUUGUUUGUUUUGUCUACUUUUCCUUAAGGCUGAGUUUUAUUUAAGGAAAAUCAUUCAAAAGAUUGAAAGAUUGAAGGAUGGAUACCAGACUUGGUCCGUUUGGACAUGGUUUUCACAAAAUAUUUUUGAAAAAUUUUUAAGAAUAUUUCAGACCUUUUUUUAAUCUCAAUUGUUAGGGCAAAAAAUAAAAUACAAGAAAAUAGCUAAUGAUUACAAAUAGAAAUUAUACAAAAUCGCUUCAAAUCACGACUCAAAAUCACUUUCCUUUAGACUAUAUUUGUCCAGAUUUUUAAUAUGCAAAGGACUUGAACAAAUAUCCUUUAGCAUAUUUGAAGGAUGUUUAUCUUUAAUUUUUGCACAAAAUAAAAUAAAUCAACUUGAAUGAUGGUAUGUUUUUGUAGAGGAUUUUAAAGAGUAAGAAAGUGAUUUUCUGCGGUAGACCACCUCCAGCCCGCUAGACCUUAUACAAAGUAGAGAUUGUGAGUGGUCAAAGUCGUGACAUUUAGUCUACAAAACAUGUGUCUGUCCUUUGAAUUGUGCUAACUAAAUGAUUUCUCAGACACUAUUAUAAGUGUCCAAUCCAGGGUAACUCGUGUGAUGUGUUGCUCCUCUUUAGAAUAUGACUAUCAAGGAUCGAAUGCUGGGGUUAACGUGUUCGAAAGAAAUUGGUCUCAAUUCUCGAGCCGUAAGGAAUUAGUCGGAGCAAAGGUCCGGAUAACCCUGUGUCGAAAAAAAAAAAAAAAACUAUUGUAAGUGUUUAGACCAUUCUAGACGUUCUAGCACCAUUCAAAAGGUGACUAACCAUUGUAGCAUGAAGAGGUACCAAAUACGUUCAAUUUCUGACCGUUAGACUGACUUCAGGUGAUGUCUAAUCGCAAGACCGGCGUCGGUCACCACAUAUUUUGUUCAAUUCAAGAAUCUGGUGAUGUUUAGUUCAAUGUCCAGUCCAAAGACUGGGGCCGGACAUCAACUGACCAAUUUUGAAAAUUUUCCAACAUCAAUAAAGGUAAUUGACUUAGUAAACCCUUGUUGAUACAAUUCAUUAUCCAUCAGAAUAACUUACCAAAUUUCUACAAAAAGGCAUAAAAAAUAGAUAAAAUUGGCCUUUCAUUGUUGGAGUCAAAAAAUAAUACAGGCAUGCAAAUUCCCAAAAACAGCUAAUCCAAACAGCUUAUCAUUAUGUAUAUUUAUAUUAAAAAAAGGAUUGAAUAUAUCUUUUACUUUGCAUACAGUAGGAAAUUCUCAGAAGCACCGAGGCUAGCUGGGAAGCAAACUUAACAUAGGUAUAAUUGUCAAUUUUCACCGCUCACAACACAUUGGAGCAAAUGAAAAUGAAAAAUCAAUAUUACCAAAAUUUGAAUUCCAAAUGUGCCUCUCAUGGGCAGCUUGGUUGGUCACGGUAAGGUUGCAAACGAGUCGAGCCGAGUCGAGUUUUGACCUAAUUGAACCGAGCCUUGACUUAAUUUUAUUGAACUCGAACUCGAGCUCGAACUCGACAAGCUGGCAAUUUAAACCUCGAGCUCGAAAAAAAUAAAAAAUAAUUAUUUUAUUUUUAAAAAAAUAAAUAAAAUAAUAUUUUUCUUAAUAAAUAAUAAAAUAUUAAGGAUAUAUAUGUAAUUUUACCAUUAAAAUAAAAAAAAAUAUAUACACACUUAAAAUAAAAAUAUAUAUAUACUUAAAAUAAAAAUAAAAAUAUAUAUAUACUUAAAAUAAAAAAUUUUAAAUAUAUAUAUAUAUAUAUAUACAUACUCGGCUCGAGCUUAAUAUUUUGAGCUCGAGUUCGAGCUCGAUUUUGACUCGAAUCAGCUCGAACUCGACUCGAACCGCUCGCGCGACUCGAUUCGUUUGCAGCCCUAGGUUACAGAAGCCUCCUUAGGAACCAUUGUUCAGUCUCACUAGGGUUCGAGUCCCAUGGUUACCGUGUUUGAGGGGAUGGGGCCUCUUCUCUCGGCCGCAGGGGAAUUAGUCGGACCGAAGGACCGGAUAUCCCCUGCAUCUGAAAAAAAAAAAAAAAGAAUUCCAAAUGUAUAUUGUUAUUUAAGGGCAUAAUUCACAAGCAUGCACAACAAACAAGAAUUUUGUCUAUAUGUUAUCCAAAUAAAUCACAAUUUUCACUAAGGAAUUGAUUUAUACUUCGUGGAAAUACUCCCAUAUGUAAUGUAGGUGGUUAUAAAUACACAUUUGUAGGUGGACAUCAUCGAUUAUCUAGCUUCUUAGAGAUAAAAGACGAUAUAUAAGGACUGUAAUUGAUGGUGUUCAUAUGUAUUUGCUAGAUCAAAACUGUGUCAAUGUAAAUUGGGUUUCAAGAGAGACAAACAAAUUGACACAUAGUCUAGCUUCUUAUGCAAGAUCUGCCAAUUGUAGUGAUUUUCUAUGAAACGUCCCUCCUGAUUUUGUUAUACAAAUCAUGUUAGAUGGUUUCUAGCAAUCUCAUUGAUACCUCCUUAUUUAUGAACAAAAGGGGCUCCAACUCUUCUCAAAUGGGAUAGGAAAAAGGAAAAUAGAACAGAAAUUUUUAAUGGAAGCCCUUGGAACAUAAUUUAACUUCACACAAAAUUUACUAUUUAAGGUACACACUGAAGACUAAAAUGGACCAGCACCAUUCGAAUUGAAAAAACCCUUCCAUUGGUUUGGGUGUUCUGCAAAUUCACGGACUAAUUUAAAGUAUACAAGUAUAAAAUGGAGUAAAAUAAAAAUCACAAACUUAUCAACUUUUUGUGAUUCCCCUUUUUUUUUUUUAAAUGCUUUGUGUCGUCUUUUUUUUUUUCCUCACAUUUCUUUUCGUUGUCAAUCAAUUUCAGCUUAUGCGGUUGCUUGCUACUACUCGUUCUAGGCACGAGUGUUUGAAGUGCUUAAAAAUCUCUCAUUCAUUUUCUUCAAGAAAUUAACAUCUAUUGUUUCUACAUGUUUGUCUAAUUUUUACUGUUUAAGUUUUGUUCCUUUUUCUGAGUAUGUAAUUACUAUUAAUAAAUCUUAUGCAAAUUGAUUUCUUCAUGUAAAUUAGUAUUAUCUGGACAGUUUUAUUUUUUGUGUUUAAGUUAGACGACAAAAAGAAAUUUUUGACUGCUUUAUUAUUUUUGCUUUGCAUAUAUUGAUGAUCCCAAUUAGCUCUUGGAAAUUUUGAAAAAAGAAAAAAAAAUGAAAUGCAGAAUGCUUUUAUCUUUUUAAUUGUCAUAUUUUGAUGUUUUGAAUUUCUAAUAGUGAAGAUACAUUUACCAUUACAUUGCAUAAAAAAUUAAAAAAGGUACAAUUACAUUUCCAAUUUAAUAGUAAUUUUUAAGUGCUUUUCCUUGGUUUCAUCUAAACUUCCAAUUGAAUUUCGGCCUUGCUUCCCAUUCUUGUGGAUUCUUUAUCAUUCUAAAGGAUUUUUAUUUGCUAUCAUUCGACAAACUGAACGACAUGGCUGGUUUAACCAAACAAAUCAUGAUUCGACCAGGUGUCUGAUCACCCUAUGGUUCAAGCUUAAAAAACACUCCUAAAAAGCUGACCUACCCAAGUGUUUUCUCAAGUUCGUCGGCUGUAAGUUUUUAAAAACUUUAGCUACAGUAACCUCAAAAAUUUCUCAAAAAUUUUAAACUAUACACUUCAAAAUAUUCAAAAAUCUAGACUUUUCAAAAAAAUUUUUAAAAACUUCUACAGUAAGUUAUAAUAAAGUUUUAGACAAACUCCUAAAAAAACUCACUUUCCAAAUAGGGCCUAUAUAUAUUGCAAAAAAAUUGUCUUCUCUAUUUUCUCCUUUCCUUGCAUCUGUCAAUAUCAUGAAAGAUGACAAAGAUUUUCACUAAAGAAGAGUGUUAAUCUCCCUCCAAAUAUUCAAAACCUCAAUUAACACUGUAGACAAUGGAAAACACCAACAAAGAAUUGAGCUUUAUUCGUGACUAUGAUUCAUGCAAAUAAUGGUGCCUACAUCAACUAAGUAAAAUAACAUAGGGCAGAUCCCAACUAUCACUUCCUUUAGAACUGAUAAUUAAUGAAAGCUCUAGUUGCUAUCUUUCUCCUCCCCUCAUGGUGGCAAUGACUUCAAUUAGGACCUCUUUAUUUGCAUCAGUAAGGCAACUAAACUUGACUCUUCCUAGAUCCACGUGUAUGUCGUUUGCAUGCAUAACUUUUGAACUCUAGAGUUCUAUGCAAUGCCUAAUCAAAAGAAAGAUUGGCUUUAUGGAUGCGCAAAGAGAUUCAAGUCAAAUAGCAAAAGAAUCAGAUUAUAGCAAGUUCAUAAUUUCAUUAUCGUGCUCUUGUAAGCUAAAAACACCUAGAAGAAAAGGGACAUUGAUAGCAUACCUGGGAUUAAUAUAGAUUAAUACAGCUAGUUCAUGAUCUAUUAUCAUACGUUUACAAGAAGAAAAACUUGAUUUUAGUAAGCCAUAGGCUGUAUUUGAGCUUGAAACAGAUGGCAAUGAAUGUUCCCAUGCUCAUGAAGAACCAAAUUUAGCACAAUGAUCUUUUCCCAC